GACGAACGCUGGCGGCGUGCUUAACACAUGCAAGUCGUACGGUAAGGCCCUUUCGGGGGUACACGAGUGGCGGACGGGUGAGUAACACGUGAGUAACCUGCCCACAACUUUGGGAUAACGCUAGGAAACUGGUGCUAAUACUGGAUAUGUGCUCCUGCUGCAUGGUGGGGGUUGGAAAGCUCCGGCGGUUGUGGAUGGACUCGCGGCCUAUCAGCUUGUUGGUGGGGUAGUGGCCUACCAAGGCGGCGGCGGGUAGCCGGCCUGAGAGGGUGACCGGCCACAUUGGGUCUGAGAUACGGCCCAGACUCCUACGGGAGGCAGCAGUGGGGAAUAUUGCACAAUGGGCGCAAGCCUGAUGCAGCAACGCCGCGUGCGGGAUGACGGCCUUCGGGUUGUAAACCGCUUUCAGCAGGGACGAAGCUUUUUGUGACGGUACCUGCAGAAGAAGCACCGGCUAACUACGUG
rnacentral:rRNA from 1 species